GUAAAAUUUUGCAAAGAUUAUUUCUUUUUAGUUAGAAGAGUGUAAUUAAAAGUAUUAAUUUCUUACCUUCCACACGCGUGCACAGCGGAAAUUUUGUGUUUUUCCUUUUUCUUUUAGCAGUCCAUUUUGUUUAACACACAGAUCCCAAAUUUUGAGAAUAAAUAUGUCAUAAAGAAAUAGGGUAUCUUCAAUACCUUUGGUAUAAGGGUUAAUCACAGUUUAUUUCCCAAAGUGACAAACUGGACACAGGUUAAAUAAGCUGUUAGAGUGGUAACAUUGUAAUGCAUCAGUACUUUAGAAUAUGGUGCAGGCAUUAAAAUCCCUGGUUUCAGAGAAUCUUCAGUGACCUGGUAAAUGUUUACAUGUCAAUUAAAGAAGCACAUGAGACUGAAUGUUGUAUAAUCUCAUUUUCAGAAAAAAGUUUGUGCAUAUAGAAAUGUGUCUAAUAAACGCAAAAGGAAAGUACAUCUGAGUACUAACAACGGAUUUGAGCGGGAUUAUUGAUAGAUUAUUUUUCUCUUUAUAUUCUGUAUUUUAAAAGGUGUAACAGGGAUCCACAUUUUUUAUGUAGUUUAGAGGGAAAUUGUUUUAAUUUUUGUUCAUCUGCUUACCUUUCUAAUUUUGUAGUCAGGCCUUUCUACUUUGCUGCCUCUUUAAACCAAACGUAAUAAACUUGGAGCUGUCACUGUAUGCCAGCAUCAUAAACACCAUCAUUUUAUGAUAGGGAAAAUUUUUUGGCUCACUUGUUUAGAAAAUUAGUAAAAUUUAUUAGCAUUAUUAUUUAUUAGAUUUGUUUCUUCAUUUUGUUAGUAUGCUACAAUUUAGCAUCUUUGAACAUUAUACAGAAUGUUGACUUUGCUUAAGGGUUGUUUGAAUAGGCAUUUCAAAGUGCUUUUGCUUUUGGCUGCAUGGAGAGUAGAAUCUAUUGAGGUGAUUGUUCUUGUG
rnacentral:lncRNA from 10 species